rnacentral:rRNA from 1 species
CAGCAGCCGCGGGAAUACGAAGGGUGCAAGCGUUACUCGGAAUUACUGGGCGUAAAGCGUGCGUAGGUGGUGGUUUAAGUCCGUUGUGAAAGCCCUGGGCUCAACCUGGGAAUUGCAGUGGAUACUGGGUCACUAGAGUGUGGUAGAGGAUAGUGGAAUUUCCGGUGUAGCAGUGAAAUGCGUAGAGAUCGGAAGGAACAUCUGUGGCGAAGGCGACUAUCUGGGCCAACACUGACACUGAGGCACGAAAGCGUGGGGAGCAACAGGAUUAGAUACCCCCGUAGUCCCUGUCUCUUAUACA